UAGGGAAUCUUCCGCAAUGGGCGAAAGCCUGACGGAGCAACGCCGCGUGAGUGAUGAAGGUCUUCGGAUCGUAAAACUCUGUUAUUAGGGAAGAACAAAUGUGUAAGUAACUAUGCACGUCUUGACGGUACCUAAUCAGAAAGCCACGGCUAACUACGUGCCAGCAGCCGCGGUAAUACGUAGGUGGCAAGCGUUAUCCGGAAUUAUUGGGCGUAAAGCGCGCGUAGGCGGUUUUUUAAGUCUGAUGUGAAAGCCCACGGCUCAACCGUGGAGGGUCAUUGGAAACUGGAAAACUUGAGUGCAGAAGAGGAAAGUGGAAUUCCAUGUGUAGCGGUGAAAUGCGCAGAGAUAUGGAGGAACACCAGUGGCGAAGGAGACUUUCUGGUCUGUAACUGACGCUGAUGUGCGAAAGCGGGGGGAUCAAACAGG
rnacentral:rRNA from 1 species